CAGCGAUUUUCCCGGGAGCUUACAGGGCAUUGGCGGCAGUUUCACUGCUUGAGUGACUCGUGAUUUUGUGCCCAGCCAGACUGCGGCAGGUGAAGAUUCUGAAUUUCUUCUGAAGACCCGUGGGAGGUCCCCUGAACGUUGUCAGCAAGGGGACAGUGACCAAAUGAGCACUUUUUAAAAGUUUGUUCGGGCAGCUCUUUGGAACACUGAUUGGCGGCAGGCAAGAGCAGAAUGGGGAGAUUAGUUGCAUCUAAAAGGCGAGGGCUGAGAAGGUCUAUGUGAAGCAGAGAGUCCAGGGAGGGAGUGACUGCAGGUGGAGUGGCAGCAGGGACUCUUGGCACCCCACCUGUGCCCAGCUGCCACAGAGCCCAGCCCUGUUGAGCUGGAGGAGGAUGCAGCACAGCGUGUCCUGGAGGAGGGACGGGGUUCCAGACUUGGUUUGGGACAUAUUGUACUUACAUUUUUAAAAUUCACAUAUAGUAAAGUUCAGGAAUCUUGGCAAAUGCCUAGAUUCUCAUAACCAUCACGACAAUGGGGACACAUCAUAAUUUCAUCUCGCCCCAAAUUCCUCUGUAGUCGCAUCUUCCCCUUAUUCCUAAAACUGUCAAUCACUGCGGCAGUCUCAGCCUCUAUAUUUUCACCUUUUCAGGAAUGUUCUAUAAGUGAAAACAUAUGGCAUAUAAUCUUCGGGAUCUUGCUUCUUUCACUUAGCAGAGUGCAUCUGAGAGCCAUCUGUGCUGUGGGCCCUUUCUGACUGUUACUGAGUAAUGUGACAUCACCUGGGGUGUGCCACUCAGCCGCUCAAGGACACUUGGGUUGCUUCCACUUUUCAGUAUUGAUGAAUAAUGCUGCUGUAAAGUUCUACAUGUAGCCUUAAAAAAAAAAAAAAAACAGUACCGUGUAUGAUCCAGGAGUAAUCUACCACUGGUAAUCUACCAGCCCUGUUUUAUUUUUUAUUUUGAGACAGGGUCUUGCUAAGUCUCCGGGGCAGGUCUUGAACUUGUGAUUCUCUUUCCUCAGCCUCCCAAAUCACUUGGAUUACAGGUGUGCACCACUGCAUCCGGCCACAUACAGGCUUUUAAUAUGAAUACAGGUUUUCACACCUUUAGCAUAAAUACCUAGAUCAGGGUGCUGGCUUGUCAAAGUUUAUGGUUAAUGAUAAAUAGAACAAUUCAGCUAUUUUCCAAAAUGUCUGUGUCACUUUGUACACCUGCCAGCAGGUAUGAGGUUUAGUUGCCCUGCAUCUUCACUUCUAAUAUAUGUUGUUGGGUUUUCAGGUUUUGCUGUUGUUUAUUAAAUUUUGGUCAUUGAGGUAGGUCAGUGGUGCGGCUUUAACACUGUUGAGCAUCUUUUCGUGCACCCACUUGACAGGCAGAUCUUCUUUGCUGAAGCAUCUGCCUAAUUGUUAAUGGGGAUGGGACAUAGCUCAGUUGGCAGAGUGCUUACCUCGCAUGCACAAGGAAGGCCCUGGGUUCAGUCUGGGGCUGGAUCUUGUGGCGCUCCAGCACUCCAGGGGGAAUGGUGAGCCUGGGAAGGGUGCUGGGGACAAGCAAUCCUGGGAGGCAGAGGGAAACCCAAAGAGGGGGAGGGCACCAAGCCCCAGGAGCAUGCCCCAAACAGAAGGCGGACAGCAGGGUUAAGCUUUAAGAGAUUUUAAGAGAGAAAACUGUAACUGGUGAGAGGUCCCAUAAGAGGGCUGCUUGGUUUACCAACACGGAGGUCAUCAGUAAGCUUGUGACUUUGUCAGUGGCCCUAAAUGGGUAGAUGGAUCCGGACAUGCUGGGGGUGGGGGCUGGGAGUCAGGAAACAGAGUCAGCAGUGGUCUCGUUUGGAAUUUGGACUUAAAGAGGAAACAGGACUGUCAUUGCACGUACAGGGAAGGAAACUGCACUGAAGCUUUGCCUGAACCUGCGGAUUUCUAAAUUAAGAUGACUCUUUUCAGGCCCUCCUCCACUCAACAAGCCCAGGGUCCUGCUGUGUACACGCUCUGCCUGCGGAGGAGAAACCCUGAGUGUGACCAAGGCCCCAGCCGACAAGCAGCUUGCAGAACAGAGAGCGCUGCCUUCCACCCCGGAGUCCACGGGGGUCUUGCUAGGACAUUCUUCUUCUGUGGAAGUUGUAAAUUUUACUUUGGGCUCUCCUCAUUUUGAGGUAAUAAAAUCCUGAGCCUGGAAGGGAACGGGGAGAUCAUCCUUCACCUCACGGAUGUAAAAAGUUGAAUCCUGGAGAGACGCAGGACACACAUCCAGUAAGGGGAAGAUUCAGGGGCAAAGCUCUUAUCUUCUGCUUCCCGGUUCGGGGAAUUUUCCACUACCUCGCGCCAGAUUGCAUACAUGAGAGUCGAUUCUGCGUCUCUAAGUUCAUAUAGCUUAACCAUUCCUUUAAAUGGCUGUGUUAAUGACUUCCAUGAGUCAGUGCUUAUUUUCCAUAUUCUGCCAAUUAAUUGUGGUUUGGGGGGUGAUCUGUUCCAAAUCCCUGGAUUAUAAAGUGUGGCGUCAGCUAUUUUUUGAAGGUAAUUCAUUCCAAAGCUUGGACCAAUUAUAGCUAAUAUAGUUGAAUUUGUCUUUAAACAUCCUCGAAUCAAAACCCAAUAGUCCUAUUUGUUUCCCCCCUAGCAUGGCUACCAGGAGGCAUUGUGAAUUCCCCAGGACCCCGUCCCCCCUCCCCACAGGACCUGGGGAAGCAGAUACCCUGAGGAUCCGUGAAAGUCAGCUUGGAAGUACCACUGUCACCUGGAAGAUGACUGGCUGGAGCAGUCUGUUUGGAGGUGUUUGCUUUUCUUUGUUAUUGUGGCCAGAAAUAAUAGUAAGAAGGACUUAAUGUUAUUUCUAACUCCGAGAGUCCCCUUUCCCUCUCCCCAGGCAAUCUAGAUUGGGCUCCUACCAUCUGGAAAAUAUAAGUUUUGUUUGGAAACUAGGAACAUCUUCUACCGCAUCUAAAACUGGUUACUUUCCCCACCAAGCAGCAUAUCAAAGACAGGGAUAAAAAUAUCCAUUGUAUGAGACAGCCAUUUUUAUAUCCAUGGCUUUUGGCUCUCAGAUUGAUCUUUGGUGGCCUCUGCCAUCCAGUCUAAUCAGCCUAAUCUCUUGAGGGGCAAAGAUGAGGAGUGCACCGCUCCGUCGAGCAGCCCGGCUCUGGGCAAGCGAUCUCAUUGUCAUAUAUUAGAAUUGAGAAGUGCAGGGGAGGCAAACAUAAUAUUCCCUCUACCCUUGUAACUUCUUUUCUGGGACCCUUAAACAAAAUACAGAUUGACAAGAGAAAAUCAAGUGUAUUAAAAUGUAUGUUUCAUGUGUACAUGAAAGAAAACCAAGGGAAAGAGUAACUACCAAAGAUGUCAUCUGCAAAUUCUUGCUUAUUAGUCUCUUCAACAGUAAACGAUGCAUUUUUAAUUAAUUUAUUAAUUUAUUCUAAUUAGGUAUAUAUGGCAGCAGAAUGCAUUUUGAUUCAUUGUACAAACUGCAGCACAACUUUUCAUUUCUCUGGUUGUACAUGACGUAGCCUCGCACCACAUGUUCAGUCAUACAUGUACCGGGCCAUGCAUUUUCAGACAAAUGAUGAACAAAGGAAUCGGACUGUGAGUCUCUAUGAGCGGCAAAGUGUGGGAAGGCAAAGGUGUGGGGAACUCACUGUAGGUAGAGACUUGACAGUCGAGAUUGGCACAUAGAUUCCCCUGGCCUAGUCCUGGCUAAUACGGGUCUCAAGCCAUCUCUGGGGAUGGACUUAAUCCUUCCUGAUGGAGAGGGGAGGAGGGACAAGGUUUUGUUCUACUUUUAGACAUACAGAGGGAGGGUAGGGAGGUUUUCUUGUAUCUGUUUCUUCUAAAUUGCUUCCAGCUCAAAAUAAUCCUCAUGCCAAAGUGACAAAUGUGGCUUUUUCUGCUGUCUUUGAAAGACUUUCUGAGCUCACAUGGUUUGAUAUUACAGACAAGAAAACCAGGCUUAGGGAAAGAAACCUCUUGCAUGCUCUCCAUUUGUAAGAGGACCUGCUCCGUCAUUUCCACCUUUGACAGUCCCUGCUCUGAAAGUCCCUUCCGGGUGGCUGUGGACAAGCAGCCCAAAAGCAUCACUUGGAGCUCCUGGAGAGGGCAGAUCUGGGCCCCAGUGGGAAUCUGCAUCUGAAGGCCUCCUCCAGGUGACUGCCUGGGCCUCGGGGCUUUAGAAAUCGCACUGAUAUUGGCCUAAGGCAUUUUGUGACUUGUCUCUCCUUGGUCUGCAGGUGUCACCAGAGAGCUGACAGUGAUCUUGUGAA
rnacentral:lncRNA from 1 species